UGCGUGUUUCGCGAGGAGGAUCAGAGGAGGAGAAAGCAAGCGAAUCACUGCCCAAGUGUGUCACCCUCAUUCAGGUGUCAUGAAGGGCCUGGAAUUGUAGAAUGGUUGAGGAUCCAGGUGUGACAGCUGAGGCUCCAGAAAAUGGGAAUGCAACUAAACCAACCCAGAGGAGAGGCUACUUUUUCAGCACUAAAGGUGACUCACAAGCAGCAUAACUCUGGGAAAGUUAAAAGUGGUAAUUCAACAAGACUCAAGGAUUGUGUGGGACUCAAAAGGAUAAAAUAACCAUGCAGGGAGCUCUUCCUCCAUGUCCUGGUGAUGAAUGAAACUGGAAAGCCAGAUCAGUUCAGAGAUGCUGAAAAAUAUGAUCACACCUUCAUGAGCACCCAGGUCACACAGGACACUUGGAGGAUAAUGGUGAAGAAAGCAGAAUGCAAAUUUUCUGUGGUUCAUCCCAGAAUCUGAAUCUCUCAGCUGAAAUGUGGCCCAGCAUGAGGAAGAGCAGAGAAUUUGGAUGAGCUUCUCUAUGUUUUAG
rnacentral:lncRNA from 1 species